AGUAAAAAAGUGGAUAACUUUGAACGAGCCAUAUAGUUACAGCAACAAGGGUUAUGCAUUAGGGACAAAGGCCCCUGGUCGAUGUUCAUCUUGGUGGAGUCCUAAAUGCAAUGGUGGUGAUUCUGGAACAGAACCCUAUUUGGCUACACAUCACCAACUUCUUGCUCAUGCAGCUGCUGUUAAUGUCUACAAGACUAAGUAUCAGAGAUUUCAGAAUGGUGUAAUAGGCAUAACACUGUAUUCUAUUUGGUACGAGCCACUCUCAGAUAGCAAGCUAGAUCGAAAGGCUGCUGAACGAGCUAUGGACUUUUUGUUUGGAUGGUUUAUGGAUCCACUUACAAGAGGAGAUUAUCCAGAAAGCAUGCGUUCCUUGGUGAAAUCACGAUUACCAAAGUUUACAAAGGAACAAUCCAAAUUGCUUAUUAAUUCAUUUGAUUU
rnacentral:sRNA from 1 species